rnacentral:rRNA from 1 species
GCGAUAAGGGGACCUCGAGUGCCAGGUUACAAAUCUGGCUGUCGUGAUGCCUAAAAAGCAUUGCAUAGCAAGGGCCGGGCAAGACCGGUGCCAGCCGCCGCGGUAACACCGGCGGCUCGAGUGGUAACCGUUAUUAUUGGGUCUAAAGGGUCUGUAGCCGGCCGGAUAAGUCUCUUGAGAAAUCCAGCAGCUCAACUGUUGGGCUUUCAGGAGAUACUGUUCGGCUCGAGGCCGGGAGAGGUGAGAGGUACUUCAGGGGUAGGGGUGAAAUCUUGUAAUCCUUGAAGGACCACCAGUGGCGAAGGCGCCUCACCAGAACGGACCUGACGGCAAGGGACGAAAGCUAGGGGCACGAACCGGAUUAGAUACCCGGGUAGUCCUAGCCGUAAACGAUACUCGCUAGGUGUCGGCCACGGUGCGACCGUUGUCGGUGCCGUAGGGAAGCCGUGAAGCGAGC